GCUCCAGCCGACCCGGUACCAGUGGUUGGAUCCAAGAGAAUUCCGGAACCCAAACGGCUCCAGGGAACUCGGAAGCCUGCUAUGCACAGAGCUGCUCUGGUUGGAUGUGCAUUCUAGAAGAAUCACUCUGGAAGCAAUGUAGCAGAUGGAUCUAAGAACUGGACCACAGGCCGCACAAGACUCAAGGAAAGACAACACAAGAGUAUGAAUGGAGGGGGUGCACCUGGCUGGCUCAGAUUCCCUGGAUCCUCUCCUGGUGACAAAACCUAACCCUAGCUGACAAAGGAGCAAUAUGGUUUGCAGCCCCAGUGUUGCGGAACAGAAUAGGGAAAACUGGAUUUGGAGGUGAGAGGCCAGCCCAGCCUUCAAGAGCCUCUGUGAUCUAGCACCAGCCUCCGUCAAUAGCCUGAUUCCUUCCAUUCUCCCCACCAUGUGCUCAAUUCCAGUCACACUGGGUGUCUUUUUCUUUCCUAAACACACUAAGCUCAUUCCCGCCCCAGACAUUCACACAUGCUAUUCCCUUUCCCCAGAAGUACCUUUUCCCCCUUGGGUCAUAUUCAUUUAGGGUAUAACUUAAAGCCACCAACGAAAGAGGAUUUCUCUGACUUCAUCAAAUCUACAAAAGCAACCCUCUCCCCACUCACGUUCCAUAAAAUUCCCCCA